rnacentral:tRNA from 1 species
GGGCCUGUAGCUCAGCUAGGUAGAGCAAUCGGCUCUUACUUAGAAUCCGUCGGGAUCCCGAGGGGACACCGAAAGGUCAAGGGUUCGAAUCCCUUCAGGCCCG